rnacentral:rRNA from 1 species
UGGUCAAGUUAUUAAGGGUGCAGGGCGGAUGCCUUGGCACUAGGAGCCGAUGAAGGACGUGAUAAGCUGCGAUAAGCUUCGGGGAGUUGCACGUAAACUUUGAUCCGAAGAUUUCCGAAUGAGGAAACUCACUUAGAGUAAUGUCUAAGUAUCAUUAAGUGAAUACAUAGCUUAAUGAGGGGAACUCAGGGAACUGAAACAUCUAAGUACCUGAAGGAAGAGAAAGAAAUUCGAUUCCGUAAGUAGCGGCGAGCGAACGCGGAUUAGCCCAAACCAAUAAAGUUUUCUUUAUUGGGGUUGCGGACAUAUCAUAACGAAGAGGUAUCGUAAUUGAAGAGGUUUGGAAAGACCCACCACAGAAGGUAAUAGUCCUGUAUAUUAAACGAGAAGACUUCAGAUAUGAUCCAGAGUACCACGGGACACGUGAAACCCUGUGGGAAGCAGGAGGGACCACCCUCCAAGGCUAAAUACUACCUAGUGACCGAUAGCGUAUAGUACCGUGAGGGAAAGGUGAAAAGAACCCCGGGAGGGGAGUGAAAUAGAACCUGAAACCCUGCACUUACAAGCUGUGGAAGCACAUUUCUUGUGUGACCGCGUACUUUUUGUAGAACGGGCCAACGAGUUACGUUAAGUAGCAAGGUUAAGCACUUAAGGUGUGGAGCCGUAGCGAAAGCGAGUUUUAACUGAGCGUUCAGUUACUUGACGUAGACCCGAAACCGGGCGACCUACCCAUGAGCAGGAUGAAGCGAAAGUAAAAUUUCGUGGAGGUCCGAACCCACGAGCGUUGAAAAGCUCGGGGAUGACUUGUGGGUAGCGGUGAAAUUCCAAUCGAGCCCGGAGAUAGCUGGUUCUCCCCGAAAUAGCUUUAGGGCUAGCCUCAAGGUGAGAGAUACGGAGGUAGAGCACUGAAUGUCCUAGGGGGUAUUGCACCUACCGAAGACUAUCAAACUCCGAAUGCCGUCAUCUUAUACUUGGGAGUCAGACUGUGGGUGAUAAGAUUCAUAGUCGAAAGGGCAACAGCCCAGAUCGUCAGCUAAGGUCCCUAAAUGUAAGUUAAGUGGUAAAGGAUGUGGGAUUGCACAGACAACCAGGAUGUUGGCUUAGAAGCAGCCACUCAUUCAAAGAGUGCGUAAUAGCUCACUGGUCGAGUGAUCCUGCGCCGAAGAUUUCCGGGGCUAAAACUUACUACCGAAGCUACGGCAUCAGUAAUGAUGGGUAGGGGAGCUUCCCAUACGGGUUGAAGCAUGACCGUAAGGACAUGUGGACAGUAUGGGAGUGAGAAUGUUGGCAUGAGUAGCGAGAUGUGGGUGAGAAUCCCACAGGCCGUAAACCCAAGGUUUCCAGGGGAAGGUUCGUCCGCCCUGGGUUAGUCGGGACCUAAGCUGAGGCCGAAAGGCGUAGGUGAUGGACAACAGGUUGAUAUUCCUGUACUACCGAUAACCGUUUGAGAGAAGGGAUGACACAGUAGGAUAAGCUAAGCACACUGUUGGUUAUGUGUGCCCAAGCAUUGAGGCAGUCAAAGUAGGCAAAUCCGCUUUGAUAAUGCUGGGAUGUGAUGGGGAGCGAAAUUUAGUAGCGAAGUAGCUGAUUUCACACUGUCAAGAAAAGUCUCUAUCGAGGUUAAAGGUACCCGUACCGCAAACCGACACAGGUGGGUGAGGAGAGUAUCCUAAGGCCAGCGAGAGAACUGUUGUUAAGGAACUCGGCAAAAUGACCCCGUAACUUAGGGAUAAGGGGUGCCACCAUCAGGUGGCCGCAGAGAAUAGGCCCAAGCGACUGUUUACCAAAAACAUAGGUUUCUGCUAAGUCGCAAGACGAUGUAUAGGAGCUGACGCCUGCCCGGUGCUGGAAGGUUAAGGGGAUCUGUUAGAGCAAUCGAAGCAGUGAACUUAAGCCCCAGUAAACGGCGGCCGUAACUAUAACGGUCCUAAGGUAGCGAAAUUCCUUGUCGGGUAAGUUCCGACCCGCACGAAAGGCGUAACGAUUUGGGCACUGUCUCAACAACAGACUCGGUGAAAUUGUAAUUCCGGUGAAGAUGCCGGAUACCUGCGACAGGACGGAAAGACCCCAUGGAGCUUUACUGUAGCUUGACAUUGGGUCUUGGUACUACAUGUACAGGAUAGGUGGGAGGCUUUGAAACCAGGACGCCAGUUUUGGCGGAGCCAUCCUUGGGAUACCACCCUUGUAGUACUGGGACUCUAACCAUAGGCCAUGAAUCUGGUCUUGGGACACUGUCAGGUGGGCAGUUUGACUGGGGCGGUCGCCUCCCAAAAGGUAACGGAGGCGCUCAAAGGUUCUCUCAGUACGGUCGGAAAUCGUACGUAGAGUGUAAAGGCAAAAGAGAGCUUGAUUGCAAGACAUACAGGUCGAGCAAGGAUGAAAAUCGGACUUAGUGAUCCGGUGGUUCUGCGUGGAAGGGCCAUCGCUCAACGGAUAAAAGCUACCCUGGGGAUAACAGGCUUAUCUCCCCCAAGAGUCCACAUCGACGGGGAGGUUUGGCACCUCGAUGUCGGCUCAUCACAUCCUGGGGCUGUAGUAGGUCCCAAGGGUUGGGCUGUUCGCCCAUUAAAGUGGUACGCGAGCUGGGUUCAGAACGUCGUGAGACAGUUCGGUCCCUAUCCGUCGCAGGCGUAGGAAAUUUGAGAAGACCUGUCCUUAGUACGAGAGGACCGGGAUGGACGUACCUCUGGUGUACCAGUUGUCCUGCCAAGGGCAUGGCUGGGUAGCUAUGUACGGAAUGGAUAAGCGCUGAAAGCAUCUAAGCGCGAAGCCAACUUCAAGAUAAGAUUUCCCACCGCAAGGGUAAGACCCCAGAAAGACUAUCUGGUUGAUAGGUCGAAGGUGUAAGUGCAGCAAUGUAUUUAGCUUAUCGAUACUAAUAGGUCGAGGACUUGACCAAU